GACGAACGCUGGCGGCGUGCCUAAUACAUGCAAGUAGAACGCUGAAGAGAGGAGCUUGCUCUUCUUGGAUGAGUUGCGAACGGGUGAGUAACGCGUAGGUAACCUGCCUUGUAGCGGGGGAUAACUAUUGGAAACGAUAGCUAAUACCGCAUAACAAUGGAUGACACAUGUCAUUUAUUUGAAAGGGGCAAUUGCUCCACUACAAGAUGGACCUGCGUUGUAUUAGCUAGUAGGUGAGGUAAUGGCUCACCUAGGCGACGAUACAUAGCCGACCUGAGAGGGUGAUCGGCCAAACUGGGACUGAGGCACGGCCCAGACUCCUACGGGAGGCAGCAGUAGGGGAUCUUCGGCAAUGGGGGCAACCCUGACCGAGCAACGCCGCGUGAGUGAAGAAGGUUUUCGGAUCGUAAAGCUCUGUUGUAAGUCAAGAACGGGUGUGAGAGUGGAAAGUUCACACUGUGACGGUAGCUUACCAGAAAGGGACGGCUAACUACGUG
rnacentral:rRNA from 1 species